rnacentral:rRNA from 1 species
UGAGGAGGAAGCCACGGCUAACUACGUGCCAGCAGCCGCGGUAAUACGUAGGUGGCAAGCGUUGUCCGGAUUUACUGGGCGUAAAGGGAGCGUAGGUGGAUUUUUAAGUGGGAUGUGAAAUGCUCGGGCUUAACCUGGGUGCUGCAUUCCAAACUGGAUAUCUUGAGUGCAGGAGAGGAAAGUAGAAUUCCUAGUGUAGCGGUGAAAUGCGUAUAGAUUAGGAAGAAUACCAUUGGCGAAGGCGACUUUCUGGACUGUAACUGACACUGAGGCUCCAAAGCUUGGGGAGCAAACAGGAUUAGAUACCCUGGUAGUCCACCCCGUAAACAAUGAAUACUAGGUGUAGGGGUU